rnacentral:rRNA from 1 species
UGCCAGCCGCCGCGGUAAUACGGAGGGGGCAAGCGUUAUUCGGAUUUAUUGGGCGUAAAGGGCGCGUAGGCGGCUUGAUAAGUCAAAGGUGAAAUCCCUCGGCUCAACCGGGGAACUGCCUUUGAAACUGUCUGGCUAGAGUUCGGGAGAGGGUAGCGGAAUUCCUAGUGUAGCGGUGAAAUGCGUAGAUAUUAGGAGGAACACCAGUGGCGAAGGCGGCUACCUGGACAGAUAUUGACGCUGAGGCGCGAAGGCGUGGGUAGCGAACGGGAUUAGAUA